AGACUUGUAAAAGCUGUUCAACUUGGUGCCGUCCACGCUGAGCGCCUCUCCCUCGACGGCAGGGUCUUGUAGGAAAUAUUCCUUUAAAAAAAAAAAAAAGAAAAAGGAUAUGAAGUGACCCUCAAAAUCUUUAUGUCUUCCCACCAUUUGUCCAUCAGCUGCCUGCUUUCAGUUCCCAUGUUUUGGAGUUUUCUUUGUGUCCUUAUUUUCUACAGUGCUAUAGAACAAGUAUUCCACCUUGAGGAGACAAGGAAGGCUGUGGAAUCAGAGGAAUUCUGCAAUCAAGAAACAUUUAAAGAAGAAAAAAAAAGAUACUAUGAAGUCCUAAUGGCCAGCUCCUAGCUGCAAAACAAGAAAGCUCACUUGGUGAUUAUAAAUUUCAAUUACAGUAAUACCUAAAGAACUAAUUUUAGCCAGUUCCUUCACAACAUAUGGAUCAUCCAUUGUCAGAGAAGUGAUACAAUUUCUGAAUUAAGUUUAGUCUCUUAUGGGGAAUUAAUAAGAAUAUUUAAGAAAUUAUUUAAGAUAUGAGCUAAGAAUUUAGACAGUAAUCUAAGCUUAAUCUCUAGGAAAAGGAGCUCUCUUUCACAAUUCAUGGGUUUCUCUGCAACUGAUAAGCAUGAAACAUAGUUUCAAGGGUAACUGAAUUUGAUCAAAAGUGAAGUUAAAUUUGAGCACAAUAAAUUCAGGUAUCACAACUUGUAAUGGGGAAAA
rnacentral:lncRNA from 1 species